rnacentral:rRNA from 1 species
AUUGAACGCUGGCGGCAUGCCUUACACAUGCAAGUCGAACGGUAACAGGUCUUCGGAUGCUGACGAGUGGCGAACGGGUGAGUAAUACAUCGGAACGUGCCCGAUCGUGGGGGAUAACGGAGCGAAAGCUUUGCUAAUACCGCAUACGAUCUACGGAUGAAAGCAGGGGACCGCAAGGCCUUGCGCGGACGGAGCGGCCGAUGGCAGAUUAGGUAGUUGGUGGGAUAAAAGCUUACCAAGCCGACGAUCUGUAGCUGGUCUGAGAGGACGACCAGCCACACUGGGACUGAGACACGGCCCAGACUCCUACGGGAGGCAGCAGUGGGGAAUUUUGGACAAUGGGCGCAAGCCUGAUCCAGCCAUGCCGCGUGCAGGAUGAAGGCCUUCGGGUUGUAACUGCUUUGUACGGAACGAAAAGAACUACUUUCUAAUAAAGAGGUCCAUGACGGUACCGUAAGAAUAAGCACCGGCUAACUACGUGCCAGCAGCCGCGGUAAAACG